rnacentral:rRNA from 1 species
CCUACGGGUGGCAGCAGUCGAGAAUCAUUCACAAUGGGGGAAACCCUGAUGGUGCGACGCCGCGUGGGGGAAUGAAGGUCUUCGGAUUGUAAACCCCUGUCAUGUGGGAGCAAAUUAAAAAGAGAGUAUCACAAGAGGAAGAGACGGCUAACUCUGUGCCAGCAGCCGCGGUAAUACAGAGGUCUCAAGCGUUGUCCGGAAUCACUGGGCGUAAAGCGUGCGUAGGCGGUUUCUUAAGUCGUGUGUGAAAGGCGCGGGCUCAACCCGGGGGCGGCAUAUGAUACUGGGAGACUAGAGUAAUGGAGAGGGGAGUGGAAUUCUCGGUGUAGCAGUGAAAUGCGUAGAUAUCUGGAGGAACACUCGUGGCGAAGGCGGGUUCCUGGACAUUAACUGACGCUGAGGCGCGAAGGCCAGGGGAGCGAAAGGGAUUAGAUACCCCUGUAGUC